GGGCUAAUGGUCUAGUGGUAUGAUUUCUGUUUUGCAGUGACUUUUCGAAAAACUACAAUACAGACGGUCCCGCGUUCAAUCCGCGGUUAGUCCA